UACGUAGGGACCAAGCGUUGUUCGGAUUUACUGGGCGUAAAGGGCGCGUAGGCGGCAAUUCAAGUCAGCUGUGAAAUCUCCGGGCUUAACUCGGAACGGUCAGCUGAUACUGCUUUGCUAGAGUGCAGAAGGGGCAAUCGGAAUUCUUGGUGUAGCGGUGAAAUGCGUAGAUAUCAAGAGGAACACCUGAGGUGAAGACGGGUUGCUGGGCUGACACUGACGCUGAGUGCGCGAAAGCCAGGGGAGCAAACGGG
rnacentral:rRNA from 1 species